rnacentral:rRNA from 1 species
GAGUUAAAUGUUCAAGGUAUCGGAUGGGCAUGCGUCCUAUUAGUUAGUUGGCGGGGUAACAGCCCACCAAGACGAUGAUAGGUAGGGGUUCUGAGAGGAAGGUCCCCCACAUUGGAACUGAGACACGGUCCAAACUCCUACGGGAGGCAGCAGUGAGGAAUAUUGGUCAAUGGACGUAAGUCUGAACCAGCCAAGUCGCGUGAGGGAAGACUGCCCUAUGGGUUGUAAACCUCUUUUAUAAGGGAAGAAUAAGUUCUACGUGUAGAAUGAUGCCUGUACCUUAUGAAUAAGCAUCGGCUAACUCCGUGCCAGCAGCCGCGGUAAUACGGAGGAUGCGAGCGUUAUCCGGAUUUAUUGGGUUUAAAGGGUGCGUAGGCGGUUUAUUAAGUUAGUGGUUAAAUAUUUGAGCUAAACUCAAUUGUGCCAUUAAUACUGGUAAACUGGAGUACAGACGAGGUAGGCGGAAUAAGUUAAGUAGCGGUGAAAUGCAUAGAUAUAACUUAGAACUCCGAUAGCGAAGGCAGCUUACCAGACUGUAACUGACGCUGAUGCACGAGAGCGUGGGUAGCGAACAGGAUUAGAUACCCUGGUAGUCCACGCCGUAAACGAUGCUCACUGGUUCUGUGCGAUAUAUUGUACGGGAUUAAGCGAAAGUAUUAAGUGAGCCACCUGGGGAGUACGUCGGCAACGAUGAAACUCAAAGGAAUUGACGGGGGCCCGCACAAGCGGAGGAACAUGUGGUUUGCGUUUUUCAAGGUGCUGCAUGGUUGUCGUCAGCUCGUGCCGUGAGGUGUCGGGUUAAGUCCCAUAACGAGCGCAACCCUUACCGUUAGUUGCUAGCAUGUAAUGAUGAGCACUCUAACGGGACUGCCACCGUAAGGUGAGAGGAAGGCGGGGAUGACGUCAAAUCAGCACGGCCCUUACACCCAGGGCUACACACGUGUUACAAUGGCCGGUACAGAGGGCUGCUACCAGGUGACUGGAUGCCAAUCUCAAAAGCCGGUCGUAGUUCGGAUUGGAGUCUGUAACCCGACUCCAUGAAGUUGGAUUCGCUAGUAAUCGCGCAUCAGCCAUGGCGCGGUGAAUACGUUCCCGGGCCUUGUACACACCGCCCGUCAAGCCAUGGAAGCCGGGGGUGCCUGAAGUCCGUAACCGCGAGGAUCGGCCUAGGGCAAAACUGGUAACUGGGGCUAAGUCGUAACAAGGUAGCCGUACCGGAAGGUGCGGCUG